rnacentral:rRNA from 1 species
UGGCGGCGUGCUUAACACAUGCAAGUCGAACGGUGAAGCCCAGCUUGCUGGGUGGAUCAGUGGCGAACGGGUGAGUAACACGUGAGCAACCUGCCCUCCACUUUGGGAUAAGCCUUGGAAACGGGGUCUAAUACCGGAUAUGAGCAUGCGACGCAUGUCGUGUGUUGGAAAGUUUUUCGGUGGGGGAUGGGCUCGCGGCCUAUCAGCUUGUUGGUGGGGUAAUGGCCUACCAAGGCGUCGACGGGUAGCCGGCCUGAGAGGGCGACCGGCCACACUGGGACUGAGACACGGCCCAGACUCCUACGGGAGGCAGCAGUGGGGAAUAUUGCACAAUGGGCGAAAGCCUGAUGCAGCGACGCCGCGUGAGGGAUGACGGCCUUCGGGUUGUAAACCUCUUUCAGCAGGGAAGAAGGCUUCGGUUGACGGUACCUGCAGAAGAAGCGCCGGCUAACUACGUGCCAGCAGCCGCGGUAAUACGUAGGGCGCAAGCGUUGUCCGGAAUUAUUGGGCGUAAAGAGCUCGUAGGCGGUCUGUCGCGUCUGGUGUGAAAACCCGAGGCUCAACCUCGGGCUUGCAUCGGGUACGGGCAGACUAGAGUGCGGUAGGGGAGACUGGAAUUCCUGGUGUAGCGGUGGAAUGCGCAGAUAUCAGGAGGAACACCGAUGGCGAAGGCAGGUCUCUGGGCCGCAACUGACGCUGAGGAGCGAAAGCAUGGGGAGCGAACAGGAUUAGAUACCCUGGUAGUCCAUGCCGUAAACGUUGGGCACUAGGUGUGGGGCUCAUUCCACGAGUUCCGUGCCGCAGCUAACGCAUUAAGUGCCCCGCCUGGGGAGUACGGCCGCAAGGCUAAAACUCAAAGGAAUUGACGGGGGCCCGCACAAGCGGCGGAGCAUGCGGAUU